CAUUUACAUUGGAAUCACCACUGGAUGCCUAUUUCUCAAGCUAGUAGAAGGGUUAUAAUACUACAGUAACUAUACAAUGAAUCGGAUAUACAUAGAGCUAAAGUUAAAAACAAAUAGAAUAUGUACUAUACAGUUUUUUCUUAACAUUCUGCGAGAAGACUAUCCUUCAACCAUUGGGUACCUUCUUUCUCUUCGUAAAUUGUUGAAGCACGUUCUCC
rnacentral:misc_RNA from 1 species